AGGAUGAACGCUGGCGGCGUGCUUAACACAUGCAAGUCGAACGAUGAAGGCAGGAGCUUGCUCUGGCUGGAUUAGUGGCGAACGGGUGAGUAACACGUGAGUAACCUGCCCCAGACUCUGGGAUAAGCGCUGGAAACGGCGUCUAAUACCGGAUACGAGCUUCCACCGCAUGGUGAGGAGCUAGGAAAGAAUUUCGGUCUGGGAUGGACUCGCGGCCUAUCAGCUUGUUGGUGAGGUAAUGGCUACACCAAGGCGACGACGGGUAGCCGGCCUGAGAGGGUGACCGGCCACGACGUGGGACUGAGACGACCGGCCAGACUCCGUACGGGA
rnacentral:rRNA from 1 species